GAUGAAGAACGUAGCAAAAUGCGAUAAGUAAUGUGAAUUGCAGAAUUCAGUGAAUCAUCGAAUCUUUGAACGCACAUUGCGCCCGCCAGUAUUCUGGCGGGCAUGCCUGUUCGAGCGUCAUUACAACCCUCAGGCCCCCGGGCCUGGCGUUGGGGAUCGGCGAGGCGCCCCCCGCGGGCACGCGUCGUCCCCCAAAUACAGUGGCGGUCCCGCCGCAGCUUCCAUUGCGUAGUAGCUAACCCCUCGCAACUGGAGAGCGGCGCGGCCAUGCCGUAAAACACCCAACUUCUGAAUGUUGACCUCGAAUCAGGUAGGAAUACCCGCUGAACUUAAGCAUAUCAAUAAGCGGAGGA
rnacentral:misc_RNA from 1 species